ACUCAGGCACGAUCCGCGCCAAAGGGGGCCGGCUCCGGCCGGUGCUCCCCCUCUGAACGGGUGCGGAACCGACCUGAAGUGCAAUCCUGAGGGA
rfam:Corynebacterium halotolerans YIM 70093 = DSM 44683, complete genome.